GACGAACGCUGGCGGCGUGCCUAAUACAUGCAAGUCGAACGAACUCUGGUUUUUGAUUGACGGUGCUUGCACCUGAUUGAUUAAACAUUUGAGUGAGUGGCGAACUGGUGAGUAACACGUAGGAAACCUGCCCAGAAGCGGGGGAUAACACCUGGAAACAGAUGCUAAUACCGCAUAACAACUUGAACCGCAUGGUUCGAGUUUGAAAGAUGGCUCUGAUAUCACUUCUGGAUGGUCCUGCGGCGUAUUAGCUAGAUGGUGAGGUAACGGCUCACCAUGGCAAUGAUACGUAGCCGACCUGAGAGGGUAAUCGGCCACAUUGGGACUGAGACACGGCCCAAACUCCUACGGGAGGCAGCAGUAGGGAAUCUUCCACAAUGGACGAAAGUCUGAUGGAGCAACGCCGCGUGAGUGAAGAAGGGUUUCGGCUCGUAAAACUCUGUUGUUAGAGAAGAACAUAUCUGAGAGUAACUGUUCAGGUAUUGACGGUAUCUAACCAGAAAGCCACGGCUAACUACGUGCCAGCAGCCGCCGUAA
rnacentral:rRNA from 1 species